CAGGUUCUAUCCUGCAGGGCUGAGGCUGCCGGAAGAAUAGAGGUCAUCUGCGAGGUGGGAGCUUCGGCAAGGUGGGAGCUUUCUAUAGCUAAAGCAUAACUGUGCGCAGGACGACUCAAGUUGCGACAAGUGUCUCCAAAUCCUAACAUGUCUGUAUUCCAAAGGCCCCAGAAACAGGGAGAUCGUCCAAUGCCACAGCUCUGCUCAUACUUCAUCUUGCUCUCUCAGCCUUUCCUUCGUUCCCUACAUUAAUGUUCCCUUUUCUUUUACGGGCAGUGACUCAACCAUCACAAAGUGCAAUGCCAGGACUUGGGAAAAGGUACAGCAAUCACACUGUGGGGGUGAGCAGAGAGCUCUGCAGACGUUUGAAACUUCAAGUUAGUGAAUCACUGAAUUUAGGUUGCGUCUAGUGACUUUCCUAUCCGCUCACCUUAUACUUCCCAAGUAGUAGGUGGUGCUUCCAGUUAUCAACAUGUUCCCACGGUCAAGAGUAAAACAGGUUGGGCAGCCAGUUCUGGAGAGAAAAAAAUAGAAACACAACUUUAAGGGAUUUGAGAUUUGGGGGUUCAGGUGUGAGGGAUGUUCCAGGAAAAAUCACCAUCCCUUGACUAUACAAGUAAGAGACAAAGAGAGAACCAUGCCCAGGAAAGAGUAGGAUGCUAUGAAUUUCUUGAUUUUUCCUAAUAAAUGAGGCAGCAUGGAAGCUGUCUGCAUGUUUAAGAAGUUCCUCUGCUGUCGCUCUUUCUUAAAAGAUGUCAUUUUAGAGCAUUUUUUGUUCUUUUGGUUCCUAAAAGUGUGGUCUAAGUGUGGUCACAGCUAUUCCUUCAGUGUCCUCUGAGUAAUCUGGGAAUUUCUAAACCCUCUGAAGUUUGAAGUUUCUGGGAUUCCUGUAGUAUUACCUUCGCGUAACCAAAGUGACAUACUGAAUACUCCUGUCCCUUAAAGUUGUCUCCCCGUGAUCCUGGGAAGAACACCAGUUUUCCAAACAACAGGUUCAUUCCUCCCAUCUUGGCAGAAACCUGCUUGGACCAACAACCAACCCAGCUGCAGCGGAUCAAUGGGAGGACCAGGCGCUGAUUUGGAUGCUGCUCUGUCCUCUCUCGAUGGUAGUCCUGGCUGACAUGUACAGAUGUCGUUAAAGAGCACCAGCUCUUUAAAUGCCAGCGUGGAGGAGACAGAACCGCCCAACUCAGACAUCUGAACACAUCUCUACCCUCAUCUUUAACUGCUGUGAAACAUCUAAGUAGAAUUUGAAGAGGAAACUGAUGUGAGCGUUCUUUGGUAUCACGCCAUUCCUCCAGGGGCGGUUUCAUCUAGAAACAGCCUGCAAGCUUAAUUUAUCAUUCUUUCA